rnacentral:snRNA from 1 species
GUGCUUGCUUUGGCAGCACAUAUACUAAAAGAAAAUUGGAAUGAUACAGAGAAGAUUAGCAUGGCUCCUGUUUAAGGAUGACACGCAAAUUCAUGAAGUGUUCCAUAUUUUA